AACGAACGCUGGCGGCAGGCCUAACACAUGCCAGUCGAGCGAGGACUUCGGUUCUAGCGGCGGACGGGGGAGUAACGCGUGGGAAUGUGCCCUUCUCUACGGAAUAGCCCUGGGAAACUGGGAGUAAUACCGUAUACGCCCUAUUGGGGAAAGAUUUAUCGGAGCAGGAUCAGCCCGCGUUGGAUUGGGUAGUUGGUGGGGUAAUGGCCUACCAAGCCGACGAUCCAUAGCUGGUUGGAGAGGAUGAUCCGCCACACUGGGACUGAGACACGGCCCAGACUCCUACGGGAGGCAGCAGUGUGGAAUCUUAGACACUGGGGGCAACCCUGAUCUCGCCAUGCCGCGUGAGUGAUGAAGGCCUUAGGGUUGUAAAGCUCUUUCAGCUGGGAAGAUAAUGACGGUACCAGCAGAAGAAGCCCCGGCUAACUCCGUG
rnacentral:rRNA from 1 species